AGCCACCAAGCGGCAGCCAUUACCACCAGCGCCGGCGCAUUGUUCUGCCGUCGUUGGUGUCUCCCGCGGUUUCGAACAGCCAAGACUCCACGACUGCAGCCGUUUCAUUGCCAGCUGUAAGGAUGAAGCAGCUUCAUAGCCGGACAUCAGACGCCUUCCAAGUUCCCCUUUUCAGCAACAGAGGCCUAGGAUGCCAUUCUACCUUUGCUGCAUUGUGUGGCUGACCACUCCAAGGAUCUCAGCAGAAUCAUUACACAGGAAGAAGUCCUGCUGACCCCAAGCAUGGUGUGAAAUGAAGAAAUGGCACUCCACAUGCCUAGAGAGCUUGAUUUCCCCUGUUUCAUGCUUACUUGUUAACAUAGCCAGUCUGUUAGCUUAAUUUUUGGUUCUUCCCUAUUGAAUGCUCAAGAAAGGCACCAAAACUGUCAUUCAUUGAAAAAAAAAUUGUGUUUACAGACACUGCCAUGCACAAAGCCCUUGACCUCAUUGAAUGUUUUUAAAAGAAAAUGCAGCUUCUGUGUGCAGCAAUAAGCUGAACAAGACGAGGGCAAACAGGAAGGUUGCGACAUUAGUGUUCAAGAGUUGGCCAACAAAGAAGGUCACAAGCUGAAGCCAACAUCUUUACAAGGGAAUAAAUGGAUAUAGCCUGAGCCAUUCCCUGUUCGACCAGCCAAGUCUCUUUGUCGAAACAUGUGCUCUAGCCUGAGGCGUACAUAUCCCGUUCUAUCCCGUUCUAUCACUCUCGAUCAACGAUACACCAAUACAAUUAGCAACUUGUGGCAAGGUCUUAAAUUCACGUUCGAAGGGAAUGUAGUGUGCACCCUGCAAGGUAGCAUGUAUAGUAUGUUAUUUACUUGAAUGAAAUGCAGAUUUGCUUGCCAGUUACUUUAUCCCCAUGUCAUAAUUGGAAAGCGUGGUUCCUAAGAAAGAAUAAUGAUUUGAAGUUCACGCAG